UCUGCCUAGAGGACUACAAGAAGCCGC
rnacentral:piRNA from 1 species